rnacentral:rRNA from 1 species
AUUGAACGCUGGCGGCGUGCCUAACACAUGCAAGUCGAGCGGUAACAGGUGUAGCAAUACAUGCUGACGAGCGGCGGACGGGUGAGUAACGCUUGGGAAUCUGCCUAUUAGUGGGGGACAACCCGGGGAAACUCGGGCUAAUACCGCAUACGCUCUACGGAGGAAAGCCGGGGACCGCAAGGCCUGGCGCUAAUAGAUGAGCCCAAGUCGGAUUAGCCAGUUGGUGGGGUAANGGCCUACCAAGGCGACGAUCCGUAACUGGUCUGAGAGGACGACCAGUCACACCGGAACUGAGACACGGUCCGGACUCCUACGGGAGGCAGCAGUGGGGAAUAUUGGACAAUGGGCGAAAGCCUGAUCCAGCGACGCCGCGUGGGUGAAGAAGGCCUGCGGGUUGUAAG